UGAGGAAUAUUGGUCAAUGGGCGAGAGCCUGAACCAGCCAAGUAGCGUGCAGGAUGACGGCCCUAUGGGUUGUAAACUGCUUUUAUGUGGGGAUAAAGUGAGCUACGUGUAGUUUAUUGCAGGUACCACAUGAAUAAGGACCGGCUAAUUCCGUGCCAGCAGCCGCGGUAAUACGGAAGGUCCAGGCGUUAUCCGGAUUUAUUGGGUUUAAAGGGAGCGUAGGCCGUGGAUUAAGCGUGUUGUGAAAUGUAGACGCUCAACGUCUGAAUUGCAGCGCGAACUGGUUCACUUGAGUAUGCACAACGUAGGCGGAAUUCGUCGUGUAGCGGUGAAAUGCUUAGAUAUGACGAAGAACUCCGAUUGCGAAGGCAGCUUACGGGAGCACAACUGACGCUGAAGCUCGAAGGUGCGGGUAUCAAACAGGAUUAGAUACCCUGGUAGUCCGCACAGUAAACGAUGGAUGCCCGUUGUUAGUUCACUUAUGAAUUAGCGACCAAGCGAAAGCAUUAAGCAUCCCACCUGGGGAGUACGCCGGCGGU
rnacentral:rRNA from 1 species